rnacentral:lncRNA from 1 species
CUAUGUCCUUCAAGAUUGCAUUUCUGAAAUUUUGCGAACAGGUUCCCUGAACAUUGGAUAGCCCUUCAGCAGGCACACCAAGAAUAGACCCCCAACAAGGCAGAGUCCAUUACCAUAUCAACUACAUUUACUAACACACCAAUGUGAUCAUCCUCAACCUUGAAUAAGUCGGCAUGGAACUUUGAACUUCCUCUCAUACACCUUUGGAGCAUCAUUUGUGAGCAAAUGUGUCCACUCUUGGAACUUACAAAUCUCAACCAGCUAUCUCAUACCGGCCUCCUCCAAGAUUUGCGGGGAAAAUGUGCAUCCCCAUAGCACUUUUUGGCUCCUCAUCUCUCUUUCCCAGCACUCCUUGGUUCACCAACCCUGCCCUUCUUGGAGGAACCAGGUUCCUCAUUAGUAUCAACUUUUCUUUUAGCAGACUUGCAAACAGUCUUCUCAUUUUCAUCAAACUUCACAGACUUUUCAUCCAAUUCUUCCAUCACAACGGCACCCGAC